CCAAGAUGGACGACGACUGCCUUCAUCGUCCCAAACUUCCUCGCCGUCUACACCCGUACCAACGCCAACCCCUUCCGAGCGGCCGACCCCCUGCUGCUCGUAGCCACUCGCGUUGUUUUCCUUCGGUCCGUAGCCGCAUGCUGUUGCUAAACCCGCGGACGCCGUACUGCCGCUCAGCGACGGCUUACGAGUCGCUACCCCGCUCAACCAAUUCCGCAGUCACCGCGGAAACGAGCAGCGGUUCCUACCGUGCACGCGCUAGACUUCAUGUUGCGGCCGGUUGAAGCCGGAGGCUCCGAAGGGACUGUGGGAGGAGAUGGUGAUGGAGUUAUUUUUCCAGAAGCUUCCUAAUCCCGAAUCCCGUUGAGCUACCGUCGGUCAGCCUCAAACGAUUCAACGUAUACGUUCAGGAAAACUUUAUACUUUGAAGACACACCACUACUCGAAGACGAGUAGAACGAACUAAGUAGAGGCCACUUCCCCCGAACAGGAAGGUACCACGAGUCGGUGCCUGUCUAAACCUCCCUUUUAUCCUCUAGGACUGCUUUUACUCGUACGAUCGCCACCUAGGUUCCUACGUACCACUAACACGGCCCAAACACGAGACCGAGAAGACAACCCAAAAAGGUACCAACAUAUACCGUAUAACCGCAAUAGUCCUCAACACCAAGACCUAAACAAGCAACGAGAUAUCUAGAUAAUAAACUUCUUGACUACUAUAUGUAACAAAAGACGGGUGGGCUUUUCGCGAGUGGGUCUGUUAGUGCACCUCCACGAACAGUUCAUACCCACCUUUCGAACUGUUAAGCAAAAAUAGAGAUACUAGAGGAGUACUGGUGUUGGUAUCACGUCCUACGACGACGGGUUCAACAGUAAAUAGAAACCCAUAAGGAAUUACAACCCAGAUGAUGUACAGGUCUAGUGAUCUACUAUGUUUCUUAGCUUCGAAGUAGUUUAGAUAGACCCGCAAGUAACACAUUAUGUUACAACUCUAACUCUUGUAAAAGUCUCCCCUUGAAUUCCAUAGUGGAUUACUAUAUUAUAAUCAGUGAUAGGCAACUAACCAUUUAAAACGAAAUCAUAUGUGGGGAAGCCCUAUACCGAAAGUUAGGAUAUGAAAAGAAACUCAUCUGUUAACACCAGAAUUAAUGAAAUUUCCUAGCAAUUAUAUAAUGACAGCGAAAGGUACAAGUCAAUAAGUGUGAUAUAAUAACGAACCAAGACUAUCGAACGAUAAUAAUCUCUUCCUUACCAUAAGGGCAGACUGUAAGUUUUCGUCAGUUCUACCACUUCAAAUCUUGCCUCCUCGAGGCGCCUUAAUACCUAUUUUUUAUAGGUAUUGUACGGACAGUAACGAGUACAGCUGGUACCAUACACUGCCUCGUCACUGUCAACAGAGAUUAACAGUUCAAAUAUGCCACCUUAGAAGAACUAACUACUAUAUCGGAAGAGAAUCAACAUGACAUAAUUAGGAAUUUUGACCUAGUAAAUUUUAAUCAAUCUAAAUUACUCAACAAAGUGACAAAAGUUUAUUCAUCAAAUUCGGGAAUAACACAGGGCUUCGAAUAAGAAAGAUGGAAAAAUACUAACUAUAUACGAGAUUAUUCGAAUUUACAUUGAUAACCGUAUAUUAGAGUACCGAGUUUUAGAAUCAACAACUUACAUAAUUUUAAAUAUUCUCAAACGUGAUAUAAAGUAGGACGUCAUAAUGGUUAUUGACUUAUAAUUCUCGUGGCUGCUAAGGUCCAACAUGUAAGCCCUUUACGAAAAUAGAACGUCCGGUCAAAAUGUAAAUGAAGAAGCUAUUCCUCUACUAGUACUUGUUUCAUAGUACCAUAAACGGAACCGUAAUGACUACAACACAAGUCUAAUGACUUCCUAACCAUCGGCGUUUCCUCACUUCCCAUCUUUUAUACAGGUAACAGUAACUUAACCACCCUAACAGGGGUUCAAUCACGACGUCUACAAAGAUAAAAUCUCGUUCUUCGGUUUAGUGCGACAAGUAACAUUUAGAACUUUUUGAACAAAUAACAGUGAAGAUAUAGACAACAUUUGCAAACAAGCACUACACCAUGAACAGUUAGAACAUACCUCUCUUACGGACGUAAAACUUUUGGGAUAAUGUAUCAAACUCCGAUACAAAAAAGGUUAAAAGUAAUAACCUUUCUAGGAAUAAUAACGG
rnacentral:rRNA from 1 species